GAUUGAUAGUGUCGAUGUUUUGGAAAAUGUCCCUCAUGCAGAGUGUAUAACGUUGAUCCUCCAUUGCAUCUUUUGCUUGAAGCAACUUCAGUGAUGGUGGAAAUAAGGACGAACUGGAAGCAGAACUUAAAGAAUAAGGCAUGGCAUAUCAACACCACAAUCGUGCAGGGAAGAUACGAUGUUUGCUGUCCUAUGAUGUCAGCCUGGGAUCUUCAUAAAGCUUGGCCAGAGGCAGAUUUUCGGGUAAGAAGAGAGUGUUGCUUUUGGUCAUUGGUCUCGCUG